UUUGGUCGAUGGAAAGACAGACUACAACUCCCAUGCAUGGCCUCUGCCAUCAUGUUGUAGGGUUUGCACGAUUAUGUUCUCCUUAGCUUCCUUGGUAGCAACGUUCGCUUACUCGGCCUUGUCCUCUGACUUGUCGGGCUCCCUUAAGCAAAUAUGAGCUCUGGAGCAGUCCAACUCUCCAGCUGCUUCGAUCAUACCUCUGCAUGAUCAAGUCCCCCCCAUGGAACUCACUGGUACUUGCAUUCGAACUUUUCCCUUGGUGGAACCCAGCCCCCAUAUGCUGAUGACUAAGGUUUUCAUCCGAUGCAAAAUUCGAUGCACGCACAGAAGACGCGCCUCUAUGGUACCAUGGCCUUCACUCCUUAAAUCCAUAGCCCUUCUUGCCGUCGUGUUGUUCAC
rnacentral:lncRNA from 1 species